rnacentral:lncRNA from 1 species
AAAUUUAUAAAAUUUAUGACAUCAAAAUGAAAUAAACACCUGUAAAACUAUACUAUAUAAACUAACUAGCAGUUGACCCGCGCUGCGCGCGGGAGGUUUAUAAUUUUUUUGUUAAUUUUUUAUUCAUAUUGUGAUAUUUUAUUUAUUUUUAAUUGAUUUUCAAAACAUAUUAUAGUUAUUUUCUCUUGAAUUAUUAUCUUUCAAUAUUU